GAGAAGCAAUCAGGCUAGAGAAGAAAAAUCCUUUCAGCAAACUGGUGAAAAGCUGCCCAGAGACAACACCCCAGAGAAGGAAUGACUGGAUCUACAGGCUGGAGAAGCCUUCAGAACCAAUGGAGAAGAGAAAGGAACCAAGCGCUUUGGACUUCAUGGGAGAUCCUGACACAAGGGGAGGUCAGCCAUCUUGCUGGAAGUAUCUUUCCAGGUAUCAAAGUUAGGCGGACUGGGUCCUUGUCAUUCCCCUUUUUAAAAGAAUUAGCUGCAACUAAAAAGUGACGAGAGAGAGAGUCCAGAGCGGAGAAUAGAAGGUUUAAACCCCCUAAAAAUACCCAUUUAAACGAA